rnacentral:rRNA from 1 species
AUUGAACGCUGGCGGCAUGCCUUACACAUGCAAGUCGAACGGCAGCACGGGGGCAACCCUGGUGGCGAGUGGCGAACGGGUGAGUAAUACAUCGGAACGUGCCCGGUAGUGGGGGAUAGCUCGGCGAAAGCCGGAUUAAUACCGCAUACGACCUACGGGUGAAAGCGGGGGACCGCAAGGCCUCGCGCUAUUGGAGCGGCCGAUGUCAGAUUAGGUUGUUGGUGGGGUAAAGGCCCACCAAGCCGACGAUCUGUAGCUGGUCUGAGAGGACGACCAGCCACACUGGGACUGAGACACGGCCCAGACUCCUACGGGAGGCAGCAGUGGGGAAUUUUGGACAAUGGGCGCAAGCCUGAUCCAGCCAUGCCGCGUGCGGGAAGAAGG